AUGCUCUCGUGGCCUCCAUUGCAGCACCAGACUGUGGUUAAGGGUAGUAUCUGUCACAUGGAAAGAGCACUCUAUGAUUCAGUGAAGGAGGAGAACAACCCUGUUGGGUAUGGGAUGAAUCUCAUGCAAGUAAAUAUCGCGAGUGAGAAAUGGAGCUCUGGAGCUCCACUAUUGGAUGGCAGGGGAAAUGUUAUUGGGAUCCUACAUGGAGGCUUGGGAGGUCCAUUCUCUUACUUUGUCUUGCUCCGUCGCAUACUACCGUUCCUGAGAAAACAUGGCAUAAAUCCGCGUGUGGGGUAG
rnacentral:rRNA from 1 species